rnacentral:rRNA from 1 species
AGGGGAGUGAAAAAGAACCUGAAACCGUGUACGUACAAGCAGUGGGAGCACGCUUAGGCGUGUGACUGCGUACCUUUUGUAUAAUGGGUCAGCGACUUAUAUUCUGUAGCAAGGUUAACCGAAUAGGGGAGCCGAAGGGAAACCGAGUCUUAACUGGGCGUUAAGUUGCAGGGUAUAGACCCGAAACCCGGUGAUCUAGCCAUGGGCAGGUUGAAGGUUGGGUAACACUAACUGGAGGACCGAACCGACUAAUGUUGAAAAAUUAGCGGAUGACUUGUGGCUGGGGGUGAAAGGCCAAUCAAACCGGGAGAUAGCUGGUUCUCCCCGAAAGCUAUUUAGGUAGCGCCUCGUGAAUUCAUCUCCGGGGGUAGAGCACUGUUUCGGCAAGGGGGUCAUCCCGACUUACCAACCCGAUGCAAACUGCGAAUACCGGAGAAUGUUAUCACGGGAGACACACGGCGGGUGCUAACGUCCGUCGUGAAGAGGGAAACAACCCAGACCGCCAGCUAAGGUCCCAAAGUCAUGGUUAAGUGGGAAACGAUGUGGGAAGGCCCAGACAGCCAGGAUGUUGGCUUAGAAGCAGCCAUCAUUUAAAGAAAGCGUAAUAGCUCACUGGUCGAGUCGGCCUGCGCGGAAGAUGUAACGGGGCUAAACCAUGCACCGAAGCUGCGGCAGCGACGCUGAUGCGUUGUUGGGUAGGGGAGCGUUCUGUAAGCCUGCGAAGGUGUGCUGUGAGGCAUGCUGGAGGUAUCAGAAGUGCGAAUGCUGACAUAAGUAACGAUAAAGCGGGUGAAAAGCCCGCUCGCCGGAAGACCAAGGGUUCCUGUCCAACGUUAAUCGGGGCAGGGUGAGUCGACCCCUAAGGCGAGGCCGAAAGGCGUAGUCGAUGGGAAACAGGUUAAUAUUCCUGUACUUGGUGUUACUGCGAAGGGGGGACGGAGAAGGCUAUGUUGGCCGGGCGACGGUUGUCCCGGUUUAAGCGUGUAGGCUGGUUUUCCAGGCAAAUCCGGAAAAUCAAGGCUGAGGCGUGAUGACGAGGCACUGCGGUGCUGAAGCAACAAAUGCCCUGCUUCCAGGAAAAGCCUCUAAGCAUCAGGUAACAUCAAAUCGUACCCCAAACCG